UACGGAAGGCAGCAGUGGGGAAUAUUGCACAAUGGGCGCAAGCCUGAUGCAGCCAUGCCGCGUGUAUGAAGAAAGGCCUUCGGGUUGUAAAGUACUUUCAGUCGUGAGGAAGGUGUUAAGGUUAAUAACCUUAGCAAUUGACGUUAGCGACAGAAGAAGCACCGGCUAACUCCGUGCCAGCAGCCGCGGUAAUACGGAGGGUGCGAGCGUUAAUCGGAAUUACUGGGCGUAAAGGGCACGCAGGCGGUUAAUUAAGUUGGAUGUGAAAUCCCCGGGCUUAACCUGGGAAUGGCAUUCAAGACUGGUUAGCUAGAGUCUUGUAGAGGGGGUUAGAAUUCCAUGUGUAGCGGUGAAAUGCGUAGAGAUGUGGAGGAAUACCGGUGGCGAAGGCGGCCCCUGGACAAAGACUGACGCUCAUGUGCGAAAGCGUGGGGAGCAAACAGGGAUUAGAUACC
rnacentral:rRNA from 1 species